ACCCGCUGAAUUUAAGCAUAUCAGUAAGCGGAGGAAAAGAAACUAACUAGGAUUGCCCCAGUAGCGGCGAGUGAACAGGCAAAAGCUCAAAUUGAAAAUCCUUGGCACGAUGUUAAGGAAUUGUAAUCUAGAGUGGUUCUCUGAGGGAAUGUGGGGUGGCAUAAGUUCCCUGGAACGGGACGUCAAAGAGGGUGAAAACCCCGUAGUCGGCCACGCCCGGAACCGAAGAGGGCUAACGAAGAGUCGGGUUGUUUGGGAUUGCAGCCCUAAAUGGGAGAUAAACUUCUUCUAAAGCUAAGUAUUUAUGGGAAACCGAUAGCGAACAAGUACUGCGAAGGAAAGGUGAAAAGAACUUUGAAAAGAGGGUUAAAAGACUUGAAAUCGUUGAGAAGAAAGUGGUAGAAGAGUAAUCAUUUGCGUUUGAUUUACAGGCGUAAACCAACCGGCUUGGCUGUGGUUCUAGUACUUCAUAGGCUGUCUGCGGUCAAGUAACGGAGGUGGCGCUGCUAUCAUGCGCAAGAGGCAAAGUGAAGUUUGACUGCUGGAGUAAACCUGCUGCACGACCAGGGCUUGCCUUGAGUCAGCGGGCAAAACAGCAGACGAGCUUGAGGGGCCUGCGGGCGACUUUGCCAAAGUGGCUUCUACUGUCCCGUCUUGAAACACGGACCAAGGAGUCUAUCCAAUAUGCGAGUGUUAGGGUGGAAAAACCCGAACGCAUAAGGAAACUGAGGACAAGUUGCCAACAGCAACAGCCGAUCUCUUUUCUCCGAAUUGAGACUCGAGCAAGAGCAUAUUUGAUAGGACCCGAAAGAUGGUGAACUUCGCUUGAGUAGGGUGAAGCCAGGGGAAACUCUGGUGAAAGCUCGAAGCGGUACUGACGUGCAAAUCGUUCGUCAAACUUGAGUGAAGGGGCGAAAGACUAAUCGAACCAUCUAGUAGCUGGUUCCCUCUGAAGUUUCUCUCAGGAUAGCUGGAACAACUAUAAGCAGUUUUAUUAGGUAAAGCGAAUGAUUAGAGGAAUCGGAGCUCAAAGAGUUUUGACCUAUUCUCAAACUUUAAAUUGGUAAGAGCCGGGGGUUGUAUCUUAAUUGAACCUUCGGGUAGAAUGCUUGUUCCAUGUGGGCCAUUUUUGGUAAGCAGAACUGGCGAUGAGGGAUGAACCUAACGCUGAGAUAAGGUGCCUAAAUCUGCAUUCAUGAGACCCCACAAAAGGUGUUGGUUCAUAUAGACAGCAGGACGGUGGCCCUGGAAGUCGGAACCCGCUAAGGAGUGUGUAACAACUCACCUGCCGAAUGAACUAGCCCUGAAAAUGGAUGGCGCUGAAGUGCAGUACCGAUACUCAGCCAUUGUGGCAAAUGUGAGGCCGCAAUGAGUAAGAGGGCGUGUCCGUCUCGUGUCGAAGCCUUUGGCGUGAGCCUGGGUGGAACGGCGGAUAGUGCAGAUCUUGGUGGUAGUAGCAAAUAUUCAAAUGAGAACUUUGAAGACCGAAGUGGGGAAGGGUUCCAUGAGAACAGCAAUUGGUCAUGGGUUACUCGAUCCUAAGGCAUAGGGCAAGUCCUUGUAAUGCAAGAAGGUGUAUACCUUCGCUGCCAAAAGGGAAUGGGGUUAAUAUUCCCCAAGUCGGCCGCGGAUAAUGUGUGGUAACACAAAUGAGCCCGCAGACAUCGGCAUGACCCCCUGGAAGAGUUGUCUUUUCUUUUUAACUGAUUGUGGCCCUGGAAUUGGAUUAUCCAGAGAUAGGGCUGUAAGUCAGGCAGAGCAGCUCACCCUAUGAGCUGUCAGGUGCGGUCAUGACGAUCCUUGAAAAUGCGGGGGAGAUAUUUAUAUCGCGCCGAAUCGUACCCAUAACCGCAUCAGGUCUCCAAGGUU
rnacentral:rRNA from 1 species